rnacentral:rRNA from 1 species
UUGAAUAAAUUUGGUUGGGUUGUUGCUGGCUCUUCGGAGUAUGUGCACGCCCACGCCAUUUUAACCACCUGUGCACCUUGUGUAGAUCCUGGGUACUUGAGAAUCGCUCACCAGCUUUUCUCGUAUCUGGGUCUAUGUUCCUAUACACUCCAGAAGUAUUAGAAUGUUGCAAUUAGGCCUUUUGUGCCUUAAAAUAAUUAAACAACUUUCAACAACGGAUCUCUUGGCUCUCGCAUCGAUGAAGAACGCAGCGAAAUGCGAUAAGUAAUGUGAAUUGCAGAAUUCAGUGAAUCAUCGAAUCUUUGAACGCACCUUGCGCUCCUUGGUAUUCCGAGGAGCAUGCCUGUUUGAGUGUCAUUAAAUUCUCAACCUCAUUGCUUUUUACAAGUUAGUGAGGCUUGGAUGUGGAGGUUGCCGGCUUCUCUGAAACCGGCUCUUCUUAAAUGUAUUAGCAAAAUCCGUGCUGAUCAUCUUUGGUAUGAUAAUUAUCUAUACCACUGAAACUCAGUAAUUAUAAGAUUUCGCUUCUAACCGUCCCCUUCGGACAACUAUGACAAUUUGACCUCAAAUCAGGUAGGACUACCCGCUGA